UACGUAGGGACCGAGCGUUGUCCGGAUUUAUUGGGCGUAAAGAGCGUGUAGGCGGCCAAGCAGGUCCGCUGUGAAAACUCGAGGCUCAACCUCGAGACGUCGGUGGAAACCGUUUGGCUAGAGUCCGGAAGAGGAGAGUGGAAUUCCCGGUGUAGCGGUGAAAUGCGCAGAUAUCGGGAAGAACACCCGUGGCGAAGGCGGCUCUCUGGGACGGUACUGACGCUGAGACGCGAAAGCGUGGGGAGCGAACAGG
rnacentral:rRNA from 1 species